rnacentral:rRNA from 1 species
AUGAACGCUGACAGAAUGCUUAACCCAUGCCAGUCAACUUGAAUUUGGGUUUUUUAACUUAGAUUUGGGUGGCGGACGGGUGAGUAACGCGUAAAGAACUUGCCUCACAGCUAGGGACAACAUUUGGAAACGAAUGCUAAUACCUGAUAUUAUGAUUAUAAGGCAUCUUAGAAUUAUGAAAGCUAUAUGCGCUGUGAGAGAGCUUUGCGUCCCAUUAGCUAGUUGGAGAGGUAACGGCUCACCAAGGCGAUGAUGGGUAGCCGGCCUGAGAGGGUGAACGGCCACAAGGGGACUGAGACACGGCCCUUACUCCUACGGGAGGCAGCAGUGGGGAAUAUUGGACAAUGGACCAAGAGUCUGAUCCAGCAAUUCUGUGUGCACGAUGACGUUUUUCGGAAUGUAAAGUGCUUUCAGUUGGGAAGAAAGAAAUGACGGUACCAACAGAAGAAGUGACGGCUAAAUACGUG